CUCUCAUUUCCUUUUCCUUCUCCACAAACCUCUCUUUUAGUUAUUAGCCACAUCCACUCCUUAUCUCCCCACACAAAGCUCAAGGUCUAUAUCCUUAGAAAAGAAGGAUUGGCAAUUUUACUGUGGAAUUUCAGUACAUUGAAAAAUUGAAUGAAGAGUAAAGUUAUUAGAUAAGUUGGCUACAUUAGCAUAUAAGGAGUAACAUUUUUAUUUUCUUAUUGACGACUAACAUUAUGUA